UUCCUGGUGGUUCAGUGGCUAAGACUUCAUGCUUUCAAUGCAGGGGAGCCCAGGUUCGAUCCCUGGUCAGGGAA
rnacentral:tRNA from 1 species